rnacentral:rRNA from 1 species
GAGCGGCGGACGGGUGAGUAAUGUCUGGGAAACUGCCUGAUGGAGGGGGAUAACUACUGGAAACGGUAGCUAAUACCGCAUGACCUCNAAAGAGCAAAGUGGGGGAUCUUCGGACCUCACGCCAUCGGAUGUGCCCAGAUGGGAUUAGCUAGUAGGUGAGGUAAUGGCUCACCUAGGCGACGAUCCCUAGCUGGUCUGAGAGGAUGACCAGCCACACUGGAACUGAGACACGGUCCAGACUCCUACGGGAGGCAGCAGUGGGGAAUAUUGCACAAUGGGCGCAAGCCUGAUGCAGCCAUGCCGCGUGUGUGAAGAAGGCCUUAGGGUUGUAAAGCACUUUCAGCGAGGAGGAAGGCAUCAUACUUAAUACGUGUGGUGAUUGACGUUACUCGCAGAAGAAGCACCGGCUAACUCCGUGCCAGCAGCCGCGGUAAUACGGAGGGUGCAAGCGUUAAUCGGAAUUACUGGGCGUAAAGCGCACGCAGGCGGUUUGUUAAGUCAGAUGUGAAAUCCCCGCGCUUAACGUGGGAACUGCAUUUGAAACUGGCAAGCUAGAGUCUUGUAGAGGGGGGUAGAAUUCCAGGUGUAGCGGUGAAAUGCGUAGAGAUCUGGAGGAAUACCGGUGGCGAAGGCGGCCCCCUGGACAAAGACUGACGCUCAGGUGCGAAAGCGUGGGGAGCAAACAGGAUUANAUACCCUGGUAGUCCACGCUGUAAACGAUGUCNACUUGGAGGUUGUGCCCUUGAGGCGUGGCUUCCGGAGCUAACGCGUUAANUCNACCGCCUGGGGAGUACGC